UACGGAGGGUGCGAGUGUUGUCCGGAAUCAUUGGGCGUAAAGGGCGCGUAGGUGGCCCGGUCAGUUCGUGGUGAAAGCGCGGGGCUCAACCCUGCGUCGGCCAUGAAUACUGCCGCGGCUGGAGCACUGUAGAGGCAGGCGGAAUUCCGGGUGUAGCGGUGGAAUGCGUAGAGAUCCGGAAGAACACCGGUGGCGAAGGCGGCCUGCUGGGCAGUUGCUGACACUGAGGCGCGACAGCGUGGGGAGCAAACAGG
rnacentral:rRNA from 1 species